CGGGGUGAGUAAUGUCUGGGAAACUGCCUGAUGGAGGGGGAUAACUGCUGGAAACGGUAGCUAAUACCGCAUAACGUCGCAAGACCAAAGAGGGGGACCUUCGGGCCUCUUGCCAUCGGAUGUGCCCAGAUGGGAUUAGCUAGUAGGUGGGGUAACGGCUCACCUAGGCGACGAUCCCUAGCUGGUCUGAGAGGAUGUCCAGCCACACUGGAACUGAGACACGGUCCAG
rnacentral:rRNA from 1 species